AUGGCAUUCUGGCUGACUGACUAUGCCGACGAGUAUCUUUGUAUUGGCAAAGAUACUACAAUUGAGUCAGUGCGUAGGUUGGCCAAAGUGAUCAUCCGUGUCUUUGGUUCUGUCUAUCUUCGGGCACCGAACGAGGAAGACACUAAAAUGUUGAUGGCAACAAAUGAGAAGCGAGGUUGGCCGGGCAUGCUAGGAAGCGUUGAUUGCAAGCAUUGGACUUGGAAAAACUGCCCGAAGGCAUGGCACGGGCAGUAUUGUGGCAAGUCACGUGAUGCAACAAUUGUGCUAGAGACCGCUGCAUCCGAAAAUUUAUGA
rnacentral:rRNA from 1 species